UGGGGAAUAUUGCACAAUGGGCGAAAGCCUGAUGCAGCAACGCCGCGUGAGCGAUGAAGGCCUUCGGGUCGUAAGGCUCUGUCCUCAAGGAAGAUAAUGACGGUACUUGAGGAGGAAGCCCCGGCUAACUACGUGCCAGCAGCCGCGGUAAUACGUAGGGGGCUAGCGUUAUCCGGAAUUACUGGGCGUAAAGGGUGCGUAGGCGGUCUUUCAAGUCAGGAGUGAAAGGCUACGGCUCAACCGUAGUAAGCUCUUGAAACUGUAAGACUUGAGUGCAGGAGAGGAGAGUAGAAUUCCUAGUGUAGCGGUGAAAUGCGUAGAUAUUAGGAGGAAUACCAGUUGCGAAGGCGGCUCUCUGGACUGUAACUGACGCUGAGGCACGAAAGCGUGGGGAGCAAACAG
rnacentral:rRNA from 1 species